UAGGGAAUCUUCGGCAAUGGACGAAAGUCUGACCGAGCAACGCCGCGUGAGGGAAGAAGGUUUUCGGAUCGUAAAACUCUGUUGUUAGAGAAGAACAAGGACGUUAGUAACUGAACGUCCCCUGACGGUAUCUAACCAGAAAGCCACGGCUAACUACGUGCCAGCAGCCGCGGUAAUACGUAGGUGGCAAGCGUUGUCCGGAUUUAUUGGGCGUAAAGCGAGCGCAGGCGGUUUCUUAAGUCUGAUGUGAAAGCCCCCGGCUCAACCGGGGAGGGUCAUUGGAAACUGGGGGACUUGAGUGCAGAAGAGGGGAGUGGAAUUCCAUGUGUAGCGGUGAAAUGCGUAGAUAUAUGGAGGAACACCAGUGGCGAAGGCGGCUCUCUGGUCUGUAACUGACGCUGAGGCUCGAAAGCGUGGGGAGCAAACAGG
rnacentral:rRNA from 1 species